rnacentral:rRNA from 1 species
UAGUCAUAUGCUUGUCUCAAAGAUUAACCCUUGCAUGUCUAAGUAUAAGCAAUCUAUACGGUGAAACUGCGAAUGGCUCAUUAAAUCAGUUAUCGUUUAUUUGAUAGUACCUUACUACUUGGAUAACCGUGGUAAUUCUAGAGCUAAUACAUGCUAAAAACCCCGACUUCGGAAGGGGUGUAUUUAUUAAAUAAAAAACCAAUGCCCUUCGGGGCUCCCUGGUGAUUCAUAAUAACUUAACGAAUCGCAUGGCCUUGUGCCGGCAAUGGUUCAUUCAAAUUUCUGCCCUAUCAACUUUCGAUGGUAGGAUAGUGGCCUACCAUGGUUUCAACGGGUAACGGGGAAUUAGGGUUCUAUUCCGGAAAGGGAGCCUGAAAAACGGCUGCCACAUCCAAGGAAGGCAGCAGGCGCGCAAAUUACCCAAUCCCGACACGGGGAGGUAGUGACAAUAAAUACUGAUACAGGGCUCAUUUGGGUCUUGUAAUUGGAAUGAGUACAAUUUAAAUCCCUUAACGAGGAACAAUU